UACGGGGGGAGCAAGCGUUGUUCGGAUUUACUGGGCGUAAAGGGCGCGUAGGCGGCCUCUGCAAGUCGACUGUGAAAUCUCUCGGCUCAACCGAGAAACGUCGGCUGAUACUGCCGUUCUUGAGGGAUGCAGAGGAGACUGGAAUUCCCGGUGUAGCGGUGAAAUGUGUAGAGAUCGGGAGGAACACCGGUGGCGAAGGCGGGUCUCUGGGCAUUUCCUGACGCUGAGGCGCGAAAGCGUGGGGAGCAAACGGG
rnacentral:rRNA from 1 species